rfam:Octopus bimaculoides Scaffold66848_contig_17, whole genome shotgun sequence.
GUAUUUUUUGUAUUAGUUUUAACAAAAUUGAAGUGAUACAGAGUUAAUUAGCAUGGUGCCUUCUCAAAAUGGCACACAAAUUUGUUAAGUGUUAUAAUUGUUU